rnacentral:rRNA from 1 species
GUGGGGAAUUUUGGACAAUGGGCGCAAGCCUGAUCCAGCAAUGCCGCGUGCAGGAAGAAGGCCUUCGGGUUGUAAACUGCUUUUGUACGGAACGAAACGGUCCUGGUUAAUACCCGGGGCUAAUGACGGUACCGUAAGAAUAAGCACCGGCUAACUACGUGCCAGCAGCCGCGGUAAUACGUAGGGUGCAAGCGUUAAUCGGAAUUACUGGGCGUAAAGCGUGCGCAGGCGGUGCUGUAAGACAGGCGUGAAAUCCCCGGGCUUAACCUGGGAACUGCAUUUGUGACUGUAUAGCUAGAGGACGGCAGAGGGGGAUGGAAUUCCGCGUGUAGCAGUGAAAUGCGUAGAUAUGCGGAGGAACACCGAUGGCGAAGGCAAUCCCCUGGGCCUGUACUGACGCUCAUGCACGAAAGCGUGGGGAGCAAACAGGAUUAGAAACCCGGGUAGUCC